GCCAGGUGUGGUGGCGGGCACCUGUAAUCCCAGCCACUAGGGAGGCUGAGGCAGGAGAAUCGCUUGAACCCAGGAGAUGGAGGUUGCAGUAAGCCAAGAUUGUACCACUGCACUCCAGCCUGGGUGACAGAGUGAGACUCUGUCUCAA
rnacentral:SRP_RNA from 1 species